AGUGAACGCUGGCGGUAUGCCUAACACAUGCAAGUCGAACGGCAGCACAGUAAGAGCUUGCUCCUACCGGUGGCGAGUGGCGGACGAGUGAGGAAUACAUCGGAAUCUACUUUUUCGUGGGGGAUAACGUAGGGAAACUUACGCUAAUACCGCAUACGACCUACGGGUGAAAGCAGGGGAUCUUCGGACCUUGCGCGAUUGAAUGAGCCGAUGUCGGAUUAGCUAGUUGGCGGGGUAAAGGCCCACCAAGGCGACGAUACGUAGCUGGUCUGAGAGGAGGGUUCGCCACACUGGAACUGAGACACGGUCCAGACUCCUAAGGGAGGCAGCAGUGGGGAAUAUUGGACAAUGGGCGCAAGCCUGAUCCAGCCAUACCGGGUGGGUGAAGAAAGCUUUCGGGUUGUAAAGCCCUUUUGUUGGGAAAGAAAAGCAGCAGGUUAAUACCAUGCUGUUCUGACGGUACCCAAAGAAUAAGCACCGGCUAACUUCGUG
rnacentral:rRNA from 1 species